rnacentral:misc_RNA from 1 species
GAUGAAGAACGUAGCGAAAUGCGAUAAGUAAUGUGAAUUGCAGAAUUCAGUGAAUCAUCGAAUCUUUGAACGCACAUUGCGCCCCCUGGUAUUCCGGGGGGCAUGCCUGUUCGAGCGUCAUUUCACCACUCAAGCCUCGCUUGGUAUUGGGCGACGCGGUCCGCCGCGUGCCUCAAAUCGACCGGCUGGGUCUUCUGUCCCCUAAGCGUUGUGGAAACUAUUCGCUAAAGGGUGUUCGGGAGGCUACGCCGUAAAACAACCCCAUUUCUAAGGUUGACCUCGGAUCAGGUAGGGAUACCCGCUGAACUUAAGCAUAUCAAUAAGCGGAGGA